GAUUAAUUUGUCAUGUGAUUUGCAGCUAAACGAAAAUAUGUCUGGAUUCUUGAGCUCCACAUGCAUGGAUUUGUUCAUGUGGCAGUUUAGCUUUCACAUGCACGUGGGUGGUUCGAGCAAUUGUGGCAAUUUGAAAAAAAUCCAAGCAUGAAGUCUGAAUGUAUCAACAAUGAGUUUUGUUGUAACUAUUUCUAUUUUGAAACAAGAAAAUGUCUCUAAUUUGUGAGAGUUAUUGGAUGUAUUAUAUUAUGGUCGAUACAUUUGUGCUGCAUAUGUGUUUAUCAUUUGCUACAUUUGUGCUGAUGUAUUCAGGCAAUCUUAGCUACAUUUGAACUGUGCCUGCAUUUGAUCAAAGAACUGGUUUAUAAGU